rnacentral:tmRNA from 1 species
UUUGCAAUUAUGGCAAUUUUGACCCAUCCUGCGAGAGCUGGCUUGCCGGCUAUGGCGAUAAACGCGUUGCGGAAUAAGCGUUGCGGACCCGGGGGCAGUGCCCGGCGCCUCCACCAAUUAUCUCCCCUCGCCAUCCAUCCCUUGGGAUCAUGGCGCGAGGGGAAUUUAGGGGGGCGAAACAGGAUCGACGUGCGUAGUAAAGGCAAUGGCUUUCGCUCGGUGGGGUACCGCCGAUACCGGUCCAUUUAUAAUAGUUGCUAAUGACAACUAUGCUCCGGUUCGUGCCGCUGCUUAAUGCAGUCGUACAACCGACACUUUAAGUCCUAGGUGUUAGCCCACUUAGGCGGGGUUCGGGAGGCGCCUGGCAACAGAAGCCUCCCA